GGUGGGGGGUGGGGGUCCCUCAGGCCAGAUUGCAAGAGGACGCAGGCCUGGCCGAGGGACUCCACUGGUGCAUG
rnacentral:pre_miRNA from 1 species